AAAGGUAAAAAGCCAAUGUGUCGACCUGAACUUUGUUCAGUCAUUUCCUGGGAAAGAGGUGGUUUGGGCACAUGGUCUAAGCGUGGGCUCGUUAACAGAUGGAGCAGACAUGCAACAACCUGAAAGUGCUGAAACUGCAGCCGCCUGCAUUGAAGUUGUUGCAUUUCUAUGACUUGCCCAAAAACACGAUAGGUCUCCCAGCUUGUCUUUUAACCCUUUCUGUUC